UUGUGAUUCACAUGACAGUGCCUGUGGUUGUUGAAUAUUAAGCCUAAAAGACCCCUCUGGAUCAUUGUUUUUUCCUUUGUAUCUUUCCUAUAUUCUCAGGCAGAGCCAUUCUCAUUCACAUAUCAACCACUGUAAACCUUAGUGGUCCUGUUAUAAUCAACUCUAUUUUCUAUAUAGUGAUCAGAUGGAUACUUUAUAAACCUGUCAACCUCAUCAGAUUUCCCACUGGCUUCCUUUGUCAUUGGAUGGUUUUAACUCCUUCCUAGCUUCUGUACUGGCAGAAGAUCAGGCUCCUGCCUGCCUUGCCAACUGCCUCUCUGGUGACACAUGGAAUCCUAGCUAAUUAGGGGGCUGAAAAUGUGAAGAUCACAGUUCCAGGCCAGCCUAGACAGAAAAGCUCCGGAGACGACAACUCAAGGGAUAGCUGGACACAGUGGUGAAUACUUGUUAUCUCAACCUCCACGGGAAGACUGAAAUCAGAGGAUGGCAGUUCCACAUCUGCCCUGGCAAAAGUCGGUAAGAUUCCAUCUUAAUGAAGGGAAGCUAGGUGUGGUGGUAUGUGCCUGUGAUCCCAGCAAAUUACAGGAAGUCCAUAGCAGGUGGAUUGAAGUUCAGGAGGCUGAACUUC